CACAUGCAAGUCGAGGGGCAUCAUGAGGUAGCAAUACCUUGAUGGCGACCGGCGCACGGGUGAGUAACGCGUAUGCAACCUGCCCGAUACCGGGGUAUAGCCCAUGGAAACGUGGAUUAACACCCCAUAGUACUUUUAUCCUGCAUGGGAUGUGAGUUAAAUGUUCAAGGUAUCGGAUGGGCAUGCGUCCUAUUAGUUAGUUGGCGGGGUAACAGCCCACCAAGACGAUGAUAGGUAGGGGUUCUGAGAGGAAGGUCCCCCACAUUGGAACUGAGACACGGUCCAAACUCCUACGGGAGGCAGCAGUGAGGAAUAUUGGUCAAUGGACGUAAGUCUGAACCAGCCAAGUCGCGUGAGGGAAGACUGCCCUAUGGGUUGUAAACCUCUUUUAUAAGGGAAGAAUAAGUUCUACGUGUAGAAUGAUGCCUGUACCUUAUGAAUAAGCAUCGGCUAACUCCGUGCCAGCAGCCGCGGUAAUACGGAGGAUGCGAGCGUUAUCCGGAUUUAUUGGGUUUAAAGGGUGCGUAGGCGGUUUAUUAAGUUAGUGGUUAAAUAUUUGAGCUAAACUCAAUUGUGCCAUUAAUACUGGUAAACUGGAGUACAGACGAGGUAGGCGGAAUAAGUUAAGUAGCGGUGAAAUGCAUAGAUAUAACUUA
rnacentral:rRNA from 1 species